rnacentral:rRNA from 1 species
CAGCAGCCGCGGUAAUACAGAGGGUGCGAGCGUUAAUCGGAUUUACUGGGCGUAAAGCGUGCGUAGGCGGCUUUUUAAGUCGGAUGUGAAAUCCCUAAGCUUAACUUAGGAAUUGCAUUCGAUACUGGGAAGCUAGAGUAUGGGAGAGGAUGGUAGAAUUCCAGGUGUAGCGGUGAAAUGCGUAGAGAUCUGGAGGAAUACCGAUGGCGAAGGCAGCCAUCUGGCCUAAUACUGACGCUGAGGUACGAAAGCAUGGGGAGCAAACAGGAUUAGAUACCCGCGUAGUCCCUGUCUCUUAUAC